AAGUAGAGUUUUAAAGAGGUUUCUUUUAUCUUGUAUUCCUUGUUUUUAUCGGAUGGAUUUCAAAUUGUUUUCAAAAAGAUUCUGAGAUCAGAACGACACUCAAAUCAGAUCCUAUCUAAACUCCUUCUGAAGACCACGUAAAUAAGAAACCCUUUCUCCAUAAAACCCCACAUUACUCAGACUCUUCACACACAAAAAGAUAGGCAGAAAACUCACACCAGCCCAACGUAACAGCUCCUACAAACCUGGAAAAUCACUCUCACAGCCAACCAAAGCAGCCAACUCGCCGGAAACCGCCACAGAAAGUGCCGACCAGCCCAGUCCCGUCGAACCCACUCCCUUCCGGUAAGCCCACGCCGGAAUCUUCUCUCUCUCCCUCUGUUCUGUGUUUCGGUUUAAUAGAUUCUCUCUCUCUCUCUCUCUCUCUCUCUCUCUCUCUCUCUCUCUCUCUCCCUUGGUUUGCAUCACCAUUCCGAGAAGACCAAUGGUGUUGCCGGUCACUUCCAGUCAACCCAGAGCUGUCAUCGCCUCAGCUUCCUCUCGGUAAAGCAUCGCACAUCCACUUGCUUUUUCUUUUUCUUUCUUUGGUUCCAAUGUUAUGCGUGAGCCAUUCCCGUAAGCCUCCUGGACUCUUUCAUUUGCUUUACUUUAGACUUUUCCAAUAGCCCCCCAAAUAAAUUCUUAUAUUACCUUUAUGCCAUUUAAAGCCCCCGUAAUCAUCUUUUUGAAGAACCUUUAGUUAAAAUUACAAUCCUGCCAUUAAGUACCUAUGCCUUAUUUUAUGUUCCUAUACGUGGGCUGCCCCUCACUUAGGCCUUGGGCCUCCUGCUUUCUUAAGUGGUUGCUAUCAUAUUAUUUUAAAUUAGGGCUUGAUUUUACUACAUUUCAGCAAUUGUUUUAGUGAUUUUUUUGGACAGAUUAUAUUUUCAGAAAAAAAGGAAAACAUCACCUUUACAGAAACUUUAUCUACUUAAAUAAAUUAGUCUUAGACCCUUUUUAUAGAAAAUAUUUAAGGGCUUUUAAGGAUACCUUUAAAGUAUUCUAGUAUAUUGUUUCAGCUUAUUAUCAUAAUUCAUAUUCCAAUUAACCUUUAACUAGUUUUUAUAAAAUUAUUAAGUUAUGUGUUUGCACAAAAUAUUAAGUAUCGUGAUAUGAGUUUUGGAAUAAUAUUAGCUUAUUUAACCUUUAUUUGAAUAUUUAUUAGAUUAUCUAUAUGGUAAG